rnacentral:ncRNA from 1 species
UAAUUUCAGAGGCGAGGUUAAGCGGGAGACGCGGAGCCGAAGCGAGAGCGAGUCUGAAUAGGGCGCAAGUCUCUGGGAUUAGACCCGAAACCACAGUGAUCUAUGCAUGGCCAGGUUGAAGCUCAGGUAAAAAUGAGUGGAGGACCGAACCCGUGAGUGUUGAAAAACUUUGGGAUGAGCUGUGCAUAGGGGUGAAAUGCCAAUCGAACGUGGAGAUAGCUGG